UUUACUUAGUCAAUGGCAUUACGGCUACAAGACGUUGUACCGUGCGAGCAGAGAACAUCUCUUUUCUUCGAUGGUACUCCCGGCAUUCACGUUUCACGAAUGCAGUCCCGCGUUCGCGAAUGUUUGUCUUAUUGACCACUUCUGUUCGAAGCGGUCGAAGUCGAACGCGUGUAGGCGCCCCUGGUUAUCCUACUACCGAGACGCAGCUAUAAAACUCCUCAAUAUGGAAAGUUGCACGUGAUCCUGCGGAGUCGUACGUAUGUACCUACAGAGUCGCCCAAUAGGCACCGUGUAUCAACCACUACGAUGUGUGCCGGUCUUGUGUAUCAACCAUGGGCGCCACCAUGCGCGAGGUACAUGGAUUUCCAGACUUAUUGUUAGCUGCCCCAUAGGCCAUAAGGUCACUACGUGAUCGACGUUACUACAUAUCUCUGGGCGCAGCUGAAACAAAAAGCAACUGAAACGAUUUUGAGUUCGUAGUUCGUUUUAACAACCCUAAGAGAAAAUAAAUAUAUAUCGUAAAGAAUUAAUAAAUAAAGUGAAAGAAUACUUAAACAGCACAGUGAUGUUACAUCUUUGAACAAUCGAUUAAUUUCGAUCGGACUAUUAUAAUCUCUGAAAUAAUCUCGACUCUUCCCUUUCCGAUCAUCGUAAAUACAUUUUCACAUUUUCGCAUAGCAAUUACGACAAGUGCAUUCGCAGGUGCGACAAACUGAAUAUGUAAUACGUAGUUGGAACCAUAAGUGAAAUCAAAGCUAUUUUUGUAUUCCUCCAAUGAACCAUGAGUUGGACUCUAGGUGACGCCUAUGGCACCACUACCAACGAGUUUGCGUCUCAUACUCAUACACGUAGAAGACUGGUCCUGUAAGAGGAUGGACAUCUCUCGCCUACACGCCUAGCAGAUCCGUGCUCUCGGGUGUCGAGAAAAUUUGCAUUGGACCGGAGUGUGUCUGCCUAGUAACUGGCUGGCUUUGCUGCAACGGACUCGUACGGCCGGAUUCGUGAAACGGUCCCUGCACUCUCUUUCUCUCGUUCUUUCAUUGUGUGUGUGUCCAUGAUACGUGCAUACGUGCACGCGAGCACUUGUCGAACUGUCUGCCAGAUCUUAACGUCUAUCGUACGAGAGACAGUCGAGGUGAAGUUGUCGCCUCGCGAAGGGAAAUAUUGGGCCGACGAUCGUUCUCGUUCGAAAAAUAAAAUAGCACGUACAGAGAAAGAAUGAAUCGCGUGUGCAUCGUCGGACAUUCUUCGAAGCGCUUGUAAUAUUUUUGAAGUCGCAGGUAUUGUCAUGUCGUCUUCGAGCGACGUGUCGAAGAGUUCAACUUUUUACGCUUUUACCUGACAUUGUCACAUUAUAAAUUCCAAAUAUCGUGACCUGAUGUAUGAUUCUAGGUUAACAAUUAUUUCAAAAAUUUGAAGUCUUUAUUAUAUUUGCUGGGAAAUAAGUUUGAAUCUAAGUAAAAAACCAACUUAAAAUAUAUUAUCGAACCGGGGUAUCCGAUGGGUUAUGAAUAAUAUGUAUUGCAUUCUCUUAGGAUUAAUGCGGAUUCAAUUUGAAGGAAGCGAGGUUACUUGAGCGAGGCAACCACUUAAUGGCAGCACCAUUCAGGUUGCGCCAUCGUAUCGCGGUGAAUGAAGUCUCCUUGAUAACAGGUGAAAGAGUAAGCCAGCAUCACGACUCGCCGCGUUCUCAGUCGUGAUGCUUUUACGUUCUUCGAGGAUCAAAGUUUCCUGGAACAGAGAGUAAUUGCGUUUCACUUACGAUUUAUGCGUAAGUGAUUUCACUCGCAUCAUCCUUUACCGGAAAAUUUGUAUAUGCGUAUACAAAGUUUGUCCUCUUUCCAUCGUUUAUAACGAAACUUUGUCUAUCUAAUAUAUCUAAGGAUAUACGGCACAUUCCUUAAUUUUUAUAGAAACGAUAAGAAAUUAAAUAAAACAUGACAUUCGAUAACUGCGACUGCAGUUUUAUAGUAAA
rnacentral:lncRNA from 1 species